UACGUAGGGUGCGAGCGUUGUCCGGAAUUAUUGGGCGUAAAGAGCUUGUAGGUGGUUUGUCGCGUCUGCUGUGAAAAUCCGAGGCUCAACCUCGGACUUGCAGUGGGUACGGGCAGACUAGAGUGUGGUAGGGGAGAUCGGAAUCCUGGUGUAGCGGUGAAAUGCGCAGAUAUCAGGAGGAACACCGGUGGCGAAGGCGGGUCUCUGGGCAACAACGUGACGCUGAGGAGCGAAGCGUGGGAGCGAACAGGAAUAGAUACCGGAGUAGCUCCAUCGAGACCAAGUCCUCGUGACUGACGU
rnacentral:rRNA from 1 species